AGAGUUUGAUCCUGGCUCAGGAUGAACGCUAGCGGCAGGCUUAAUACAUGCAAGUCGUGGGGCAGCGCAGGUAGCAAUACUGGGCGGCGACCGGCAAACGGGUGCGGAACACGUACACAACCUUCCUUCAAGUGGGGAAUAGCCCAGAGAAAUUUGGAUUAAUACCCCGUAACAUAACGAUGUGGCAUCACAUUGUUAUUAUAGCUUCGGCGCUUGUUGAUGGGUGUGCGGCUGAUUAGAUAGUUGGCGGGGUAACGGCCCACCAAGUCUACGAUCAGUAGCUGAUGUGAGAGCAUGAUCAGCCACACGGGCACUGAGACACGGGCCCGACUCCUACGGGAGGCAGCAGUAAGGAAUAUUGGUCAAUGGACGCAAGUCUGAACCAGCCAUGCCGCGUGAAGGAUUAAGGUCCUCUGGAUUGUAAACUUCUUUUAUUUGGGACGAAAAAAGGCGAUUCUUCGUCACUUGACGGUACCAGAUGAAUAAGCACCGGCUAACUCCGUGCCAGCAGCCGCGGUAAUACGGAGGGUGCAAGCGUUAUCCGGAUUCACUGGGUUUAAAGGGUGCGUAGGCGGGCAGUUAAGUCAGUGGUGAAAUCCUAGAGCUUAACUCUAGAACUGCCAUUGAUACUAUCUGUCUUGAAUAUUGUGGAGGUAAGCGGAAUAUGUCAUGUAGCGGUGAAAUGCUUAGAUAUGACAUAGAACACCUAUUGCGAAGGCAGCUUACUACGCAUAUAUUGACGCUGAGGCACGAAAGCGUGGGGAUCAAACAGGAUUAGAUACCCUGGUAGUCCACGCCCU
rnacentral:rRNA from 1 species